UGGGGAAUAUUGCGCAAUGGGCGAAAGCCUGACGCAGCAACACCGCGUGAGGGAUGACGGCCUUCGGGUUGUAAACCUCUUUCAGCUCCGACGAAGCGAAAGUGACGGUAGGAGCAGAAGAAGCACCGGCUAACUACGUGCCAGCAGCCGCGGUAAUACGUAGGGUGCAAGCGUUGUCCGGAAUUAUUGGGCGUAAAGAGCUCGUAGGCGGUCCGUUGCGUCUGCCGUGAAAACCCGGAGCUCAACUCCGGGCCUGCGGUGGAUACGGGCGGACUAGAGUCCGGUAGGGGAGACUGGAAUUCCUGGUGUAGCGGUGGAAUGCGCAGAUAUCGGGAGGAACACCGGUGGCGAAGGCGGUCACCUGGGCCAGUACUGACGCUGAGGCGCGAAAGCGUGGGGAGCAAACAGGAUUAGAUACCCUGGUAGUCCACGCCGUAAACGAUGAGCACUCGGUGCCGCGGGUAUCGACCCCUGCGGUGCCUGAGCUAACGCAUUAAGUGCUCCGCCUGGGGAGUACGGUCGC
rnacentral:rRNA from 1 species